rnacentral:rRNA from 1 species
GAUGAACGCUGGCGGCGUGCCUAAUACAUGCAAGUCGAGCGAACAGACGAGGAGCUUGCUCUUCGGCCGUUGUCGGCGGACGGGUAAUAACAAGGUGGAUAACCUACCUUUAAGACUGGUAUACCUUCGGAAACCCGGAUCUAAUACCGGAUAAUAUCUUGAACGGCUUUGUUCAUUGGUAAACACCGGUUUUUCUGUCCCUAUUCGCUGCUUCCGCGCCGCUUUAGCUAUUUCGUAAGGUAACGGCUUACCAAGGCUACGAUACGUAUCCGCCCUGAGAGGGUGAUCCGCCACACUGGAACUGAGACACGGUCCAGACUCCUACGGGAGGCAGCAGUAGGGAAUAUUCCGCGAAGGGCGAAAGCCUGACGGAGCAACGCCGCGUGAGUGAAGAAGGUCUUCGGAUCGUAAAACUCUGUUAUUAGGGAAGAACAAAUGUGUAUGUAAAUAUGCACGUUUUGACGGUACCUAAUCAGAAAGCCACGGCUAACUACGUG